UGGGUCCUGCCUUUCUGCCCCCAGCCCCAGCUGAAACUAGGAAGACUAGGGUAGAUAACUCAAGAACCUAGUGGAGAAACUGCAAGGUCUGAAGACGGCACCAUUUAUUAAGUGGCAUCUAUUUCAUACCAAUUUUAAAACCUCCAUCUUAAAUACUUAGCACCAGCGUGCACCGAACAACCAACCUGGCCUCCAGGACGCCGGCCUGGGCCGGAGCGCCGCUUUGCACGGAAACCCCCCGCUCCACCCCCAGCUCUUGGGGUCCCCAGUGGCAGAGCCCGGCGCCUUCCCGGGUAACUUUUCCCUUCAGUAGGUGGAAGGUUACAUUGGAGGAAAAUAGUCCCUCCUGUGUAAAAAGUUUUCAGGGGAAAAGCGCUCGGUCGGACGUGCAGCAAGGAGGGUGGUCGGGUGGGGGUGCAGGCGCUGAGUCCUGGGUCCCGCUAGGCCCAGCGCUGCUGCACGACCCCGCGCCCGGAGGCCUCGCUGCUGGCGACCUCUGAGGGCGGGAUCCCGGUUCCCGCAGAGCGGUGGAGUCUCCAGGAGCAUCUUCCCCUCCCCCGUUGUUUAGGGGAUUGAACCCGACGCCUUCACACUGAGCUACGUUCUCAGCCCCUUUUAAUUAUUUUUCUUUUAAAUCCUAUUUUUGAGACAGUGUCUUGCAAAAUCGCGGACUUACUCAGGCUGGACUCGAAUUUGAGAACCACCUGCCUCAGCCUCCCACAGUGCUGGGAUACAAGGCAUGCAAUAUCACGCUCAAGGUGAGCCUUGCUUUCAAAUUGAUACUUUUCUUUUGUCCUGAUCUCUUCACCUCAAGUCUGCGUUAAGUAGGAGUGCAGGAAAUGAGAACUAUAGAGAAAAAAAUUAAAAUGCAAUCUUUAAAAUACAAAUGUUCCUACUCCCCUUUUCUCUGUCAGAUUACUAUAGGUGUCAAUUACAUGUGGAUAGGCACUCAGAUCAGGCUCGGAAGCUCUAUCUUCUGCAAGCUCUAUCUUCUGCCCUCACCUGGCAUCAAAAUAAGGUUUUCAUGCAGUAGUAAUUUUGUAGAUCAAAGCCUGCACCUCAAAACGACCUCCUGUGCAGAAUCUUGCCCCCCGCAUCUCCUAGCUGAUACAUGUGGGAAAUGCUUAGUUCGGGAUACUGUUGGAAACUACAGGGAAGUGGCGUUCAUCUACAGUGUUCAUCUACAGUACACCUACAAAGGCAUAGGAGCUGGGCGUGAUGGCACAUUCCAGCACGUGGGAGGCUGAGGAAGGAGGGCCAGCCUAGGCUACAUAGUGAGACCCUGUCUCAGAAAAAGAAAGGAUGGAAGGAAGGAAGAAAGAAGAAAAAGAUUUAGGGUGUGACAGAGACUCAUUUAAUGAUAGCUAAAAGAGUUUUGCCCUAGAAUAAAUUACUGCACGGUUAUGACGGUGGUCUAAUGUGGAAGGCCACAGCAGGAUGGCCCACCACUUCCUGCUUCUUCCCCAGCCCUAAUUGCAACUCCCCUUCCUGUUUGCGCAGGAAGAAAACUCCAAUCAGCUUCCAGCGCGUCAUCAAUGCCCGUCCUAAGCUCCACCCCUGCUCUAAGGCUACAUGUGUCCCACAUCCCCCACCCCCACCCGCGCCCCAUAUUCAGGAGAAAGGAGACAGCGCAGCCACCAUGGAUUGUGUGCUCCUUCCCACGUCGUCAUCGCAAUAAACCUGUUCUUGUACUUUUGCAUCUCCAUUGCGCCAGAAGUGCUUUGCACACAG
ensembl:lincRNA